GAUGAGUAGGGCGGGAUACGUGGUAUCCUGUCUGAAUAUGGGGGGACCAUCCUCCAAGGCUAAAUACUCCUGACUGACCGAUAGUGAACCAGUACCGUGAGGGAAAGGCGAAAAGAACCCCGGCGAGGGGAGUGAAAAAGAACCUGAAACCGUGUACGUACAAGCAGUGGGAGCCCCACCACCAAAGCAUUCUCUGGUGUUGAAGGCCCUGCAAAGCAGCAUCGCGGUGGCGGAGCGUCGUUUGCGACGCCCAACACACAAAACAAGCGGUGAGUGCUUUGGGGUGGGGUGACUGCGUACCUUUUGUAUAAUGGGUCAGCGACUUAUAUUCUGUAGCAAGGUUAACCGUAUAGGGGAGCCGUAGGGAAACCGAGUCUUAACCGGGCGUUAAGUUGCAGGGUAUAGACCCGAAACCCGGUGAUCUAGCCAUGGGCAGGUUGAAGGUUGGGUAACACUAACUGGAGGACCGAACCGACUAAUGUUGAAAAAUUAGCGGAUGACUUGUGGCUGGGGGUGAAAGGCCAAUCAAACCGGGAGAUAGCUGGUUCUCCCCGAAAGCUAUUUAGGUAGCGCCUCGUGAAUUCAUCUUCGGGGGUAGAGCACUGUUUCGGCUAGGGGGUCAUCCCGACUUACCAACCCGAUGCAAACUGCGAAUACCGGAGAAUGUUAUCACGGGAGACACACGGCGGGUGCUAACGUCCGUCGUGAAGAGGGAAACAACCCAGACCGCCAGCUAAGGUCCCAAAGUCAUGGUUAAGUGGGAAACGAUGUGGGAAGGCCCAGACAGCCAGGAUGUUGGCUUAGAAGCAGCCAUCAUUUAAAGAAAGCGUAAUAGCUCACUGGUCGAGUCGGCCUGCGCGGAAGAUGUAACGGGGCUAAACCAUGCACCGAAGCUGCGGCAGCGACACUGUGUGUUGUUGGGUAGGGGAGCGUUCUGUAAGCCUGCGAAGGUGGCCUGUGAGGGUUGCUGGAGGUAUCAGAAGUGCGAAUGCUGACAUAAGUAACGAUAAAGCGGGUGAAAAGCCCGCUCGCCGGAAGACCAAGGGUUCCUGUCCAACGUUAAUCGGGGCAGGGUGAGUCGACCCCUAAGGCGAGGCCGAAAGGCGUAGUCGAUGGGAAACAGGUUAAUAUUCCUGUACUUGGUGUUACUGCGAAGGGGGGACGGAGAAGGCUAUGUUGGCCGGGCGACGGUUGUCCCGGUUUAAGCGUGUAGGUGUGUGUUCCAGGUAAAUCCGGUUCACUUUAACACUGAGGCGUGAUGACGAGGCACUACGGUGCUGAAGCAACAAAUGCCCUGCUUCCAGGAAAAGCCUCUAAGCAUCAGGUAACAUCAAAUCGUACCCCAAACCGACACAGGUGGUCAGGUAGAGAAUACCAAGGCGCUUGAGAGAACUCGGGUGAAGGAACUAGGCAAAAUGGUGCCGUAACUUCGGGAGAAGGCACGCUGACA
rnacentral:rRNA from 1 species